rnacentral:misc_RNA from 1 species
GCAACAUCAUGGGGUAUGCUGACUCAUGGAAAGACGGGGAAGGAAGGAGAAACUAACCAAAAAAAAUACUGGACUAACAAGCUUCUUGUAUAUCUAUCUCACUAUCUGUAUUUAGUACUCUGUAUAAUGAGACGGGUAUCCGCCAUAUAGUCGUCGGUGUAUGUAUUGACCGACCUAGUUUUUGUUUCGACUCUACUUUCAUUGUUUCGGCUAACU